rnacentral:rRNA from 1 species
UACGUAGGGUGCAAGCGUUGUCCGGAAUUAUUGGGCGUAAAGAGCUCGUAGGCGGUUUGUCGCGUCUGCUGUGAAAACCCGAGGCUCAACCUCGGGCCUGCAGUGGGUACGGGCAGACUAGAGUGCGGUAGGGGAGAUUGGAAUUCCUGGUGUAGCGGUGGAAUGCGCAGAUAUCAGGAGGAACACCAAUGGCGAAGGCAGCUCUCUGGCUUCACCCUGACGCUGAGGCGCGAAAGCGUGGGGAGCGAACGGG